rnacentral:lncRNA from 1 species
CCGGGACAGACAGUCUCCCAAGGACACGGUUUCCUUGCAGAAUAAUGGAAAUUUAGGCACCAGACAGAAAGUCAAGACGGGGACUUCUGGUCUACCCGGGAGACUAAGGUGGCCGACGGCGUUUCGUUGAUUCCCUGGAGGACCCUUCACAUGUGUGCUCCCGAUGGAAAAAUCAGAACGCUCCUUUUGCUUUACGGAGAAUCCCAUCUAACACACAGGACAUGGGGUUGGUGUGAACCCAAGGCGCAGAGGCCAACACCUGUGCCAUCUGUGCUCAUGGAGAGCUGGAGAAUCCGGUGAGUGUGCAUGCUUCCUUGUGAGUGAGUGCCGUGGGCAUACGUAUGAGCUACUCUGUGCAAAACCAGGUCCCGCACGUUGACCUUGCCCAACAGGUUUUUGUGGGGGGCUUGAGAGAGGUAUCUCCACCAUGCUAGUCAUGGGCAUCAUUGUCUGUGGUGGAGCCUCCAAGAUGGAGGUUGAAAUGAG